AUGCGAUGCUACUUGGAGGACUUCAGUAUACUCUCUUCUACAUGCUGCAAGAUGGAGGUGGCCAGAAGCGUAGUCUUCGACAAGAUUAGCUAUCCCCCUCUUAUUCUGACUUUCUGCAGUUCAGUCCACCGAUAUGGCCGUUUACACAUUUACCCAUGCAUAUGUAGUGUAGCUCCUUGCUUGCGAGUACUUUGGAUGAGUACUCACGGUUUCUUUCUUCCUCUUUUCCCCUAUCCCUUCUACCUGGUUGUCGCAACCAGAUGUUGGAGCCCAGGAUCCAGACGCCAUCGUCGACGACGACUCCUACUACACCGGAGGUGCCUACUACUACGUGCUGCCCGCUGA
rnacentral:rRNA from 1 species